AUAUUAUGAAGCUUGUUAUAUUUUUACGAAUUUAUUUAUUUAAAUAUUCAAUUACUUUUCGCCAACUUAUUUAGAAACCAGGCCAAUUUGAACAAUUUGAAGAUUUGGGAAAUUUAUACAAAACAACUGCACGCGUGAAUAAGAAACACCUCAAUGUAUCAGUAGAACCAAAGAGAAUCGCAUGGAUGCCGACGUCGUUCACAGGAUUGAUGCAAAUUUCAUUUGUGUGAUAUAAUAGAGGGCGCUACUUCUGAUUGGUUGUCAUGACAACGCAUGAAUGUUUUAUGUUUCUUUUGUUUAUUUGAAUCUUUUGGGCAGAGACGCGAUCGCUGUGUGUGUGUGAAAAAGUUAAAGUCUGCAAUUCCUUGAAGAACAUCAACAAAACCGAACAUGGCUCCGACUCCUCCACGCAAACCGACUUCAUCAAAUCCGCAAAUUUCGAUCGUACCAUUGACUGCCUUAAAGAAAAAACCUGCGGAACACCCUGCCGAACAAGUAUUAUCUUUGACAGUGGCGAACAAGCCAACCCCGAUGACUUCCCAGCAAGCUCAAGGUCAAAACAUCAAAGCAGCGGCAAAAGAGAACAACCAAACACAAAGCGGUAGGACGAAGCGUCGUGCUAAAAAACCCGCCCGAUCACUACCUGAGUUGCCCGCUCUCAUAUCAUUGAAACGCAUUAAAUUAUUGAAAGUAGUAAACCAAACCACCACUUCGGCAGGACCUGCAGGAACUGCAUCUAGUCAAAAACAGGCCCUUGCACUGAAGGACGUACGAGAAGUGGGUAUCCAAACUGACGAGAUUGAUUAUAACAAUAAUUUGCUAAAGAAGGUGAUUGAAACAAAUGAAAUGACAGCCAGGACAUUGAGUAGUAUUGAGAACUUUGCCAAAAGAUUAAUCGCAGUAAAAGAACAGAAGGUUGCAUCCGCGGGGAGUAGUCAGGUUGAUUUGAACAACUCUUCGACAGAAGAGAAUAAAGAAAAUAUGUAAAAAUUAUAUGGUUUCUGUUAAUGUGCGCAAAGAAUCUUUUUUAAACAAAUAA